GGGGCUGGGGGCGGGGCCUGGCCUCGUUGUGGAACGACUCGUAAUCCAUCAUGGCGGCCGCGGGGGUCGGUGUCCGUCCCUGAGCAGCGCUGGAGCCGGAGCCGGUUCCCGGGUCUGGCGGCUGAGGAGCGCCUCCGUUGUCCACGGCGCCUACCUGCAGGGGGAGGCUCGGUCCCGCUGUGGAGCUCUGCGGAUGUGACUGCCGGGCGGUGGCGGCCGUGGCAACGUCCGGGGCCAGGAGAGGGGGUGUCUUGGGAGAGACCCUCGGGCUCGGGGCAGCCGAGGCGGCCGGGCCUCCUGCCCCCUCCGCCUGCCUCCCGCCUCCGGGUCGCGAGAGCCCACCGUCCCUUACAGCCCUGCCUGGCUGUGAGACAUUGGGGGUGGUCUCUGUUCCCCCAGACCUGGGACACGCCGUUUCCUGAGGCGUAGAGGAGCGUCGCCCCUGAGUAAGCCGCCAGUGCCCCCCGCCCCCCGCCCCGGCAGCCUCCCUCUUAGCCCCGAGCCGCCCCUUGCUCCGACUCCCGGCACCCAGUUUGGCCUCGGAGUCCCCCCAUUCAAAUCCCUUCCCUGUGGUCAAGUGGCCUCCCCUUCCCCCCCAGUUGCUCCCGCGAGCCGCUAAUGCCCUGACUUCUCCCAAUGUCACCCAAGGCCCCCUUGGUCUCAGCCCAAACAAAAACUUUAAUGCAAAGGAAAAGUCUGGACUGGUUUCACAGGCCUUUUAAAAAGCGGAUCUGAAAGUUGCUGGCAAUGCAUUCCUUCUCGUCAGAGUCGAGGGCAAGCUCUCGCUGAAGCCUCGGUGACCCGUGUCCUUUUCCGGACAGCGUGGUAGAGAAGCGGGAGCUGCGGCUAGUUCGGCAGGAAAUUUGUCGGAAGAUGAAGAAACUAAGAUAGGAGUGGGUGACUUCCACAGGAAAAGUUCUGGAGAAGCAUCCAAAGAUGAUCAACCUUUUCCUUUAUGUAUGGGCAUCGAAAGGACUUGAGUCCGUUUAGUUUUUUCUUCUUGGAAAGAAAGAGACUUAAUUCAACCAGUGAAAAACACUUACACCCAAGAAACUUGAGUAGCACUGUAGUAAGUUCAAAUUGAUAAACUGCGAAAAUAAGUGGAACUCUUGUUUACACGUGUCAACGUGAAAACUGCUUCCUUUUGCUAUGGAAGGUGUCUUUUUGUGAUUGACCUCAAUUACGGACUUUUUGAGAUGCAGUGAAUGUGAAAUCCCACCUAUAUACUGUUUCCUUCUGGAAGAUCUUGAACCCUCUCUGGAAAGGGGUGCCUAUCCUUACUUUAUGGGGCAGCAGCCAGGAAAAGUUCUUGGGGACCAAAGACGGCCGAGUUUGCCUGCCCUGCACUUUAUCAAAGGAGCAGGGAAGAAGGAAUCAUCACGGCACGGGGGGCCCCACUGCAAUGUGUUUGUGGAACAUGAAGCUCUUCAGAGGCCAGUAGCGUCUGACUUUGAGCCCCAAGGUCUGAGCGAAGCAGCUCGUUGGAACUCCAAGGAAAACCUCCUUGCUGGUCCCAGUGAAAAUGACCCCAACCUUUUCGUUGCACUCUAUGAUUUUGUGGCCAGUGGGGAUAACACUCUGAGCAUAACUAAAGGUGAAAAGCUCCGGGUCUUAGGCUACAAUCACAAUGGAGAAUGGUGUGAAGCCCAAACCAAGAAUGGCCAAGGGUGGGUGCCAAGCAACUACAUCACACCUGUCAACAGUCUGGAGAAGCAUUCCUGGUACCACGGGCCGGUGUCCCGCAACGCCGCCGAGUACCUGCUGAGCAGCGGGAUCAACGGCAGCUUCUUGGUCCGGGAGAGUGAGAGCAGUCCUGGCCAGAGGUCCAUCUCGCUGAGAUACGAAGGGAGAGUGUACCACUACAGGAUCAACACUGCUUCUGACGGCAAGCUCUACGUGUCCUCAGAGAGCCGCUUCAGCACCCUGGCCGAGCUGGUCCACCACCACUCGACCGUGGCGGACGGGCUCAUCACCACACUGCAUUACCCAGCCCCCAAGCGCAACAAGCCCACCGUCUACGGCGUGUCCCCCGACUACGACAAGUGGGAGAUGGAGCGCACGGACAUCACCAUGAAGCACAAGCUGGGCGGCGGCCAGUACGGGGAGGUGUACGAGGGCGUGUGGAAGAAGUACAGCCUCACGGUGGCCGUGAAGACCUUAAAGGAGGACACCAUGGAGGUAGAAGAGUUCCUGAAGGAAGCUGCGGUGAUGAAAGAGAUCAAGCACCCUAACCUAGUACAAUUACUUGGAGUCUGCACCCGGGAGCCCCCGUUCUAUAUAAUCACUGAGUUCAUGACCUAUGGGAACCUGUUGGAUUACCUGAGAGAGUGUAACCGGCAGGAGGUGAAUGCCGUGGUGCUGCUGUACAUGGCCACUCAGAUCUCGUCGGCCAUGGAGUACCUGGAGAAGAAAAACUUCAUCCACAGAGAUCUUGCUGCACGAAACUGCCUGGUAGGGGAAAACCACUUGGUGAAGGUGGCUGAUUUCGGCCUGAGCAGGUUGAUGACGGGGGACACCUACACCGCCCACGCCGGGGCCAAGUUCCCCAUCAAAUGGACAGCGCCCGAGAGCCUGGCCUACAACAAGUUCUCCAUCAAGUCCGACGUCUGGGCAUUUGGAGUAUUGCUUUGGGAAAUUGCUACCUACGGCAUGUCACCUUACCCGGGAAUCGACCUGUCCCAGGUGUAUGAGCUGCUAGAGAAGGACUAUCGCAUGGAGCGCCCGGAAGGCUGCCCGGAGAAGGUCUAUGGACUCAUGCGAGCAUGUUGGCAGUGGAAUCCCUCUGACCGGCCCUCCUUUGCUGAGAUCCACCAAGCCUUUGAAACAAUGUUCCAGGAAUCCAGCAUAUCAGAUGAAGUGGAAAAGGAACUGGGGAAGAAAGGCAUGCGAGUCGUUGGAAGUACUUUGCUGCAGGCCCCGGAGCUGCCCACCAAAACCAGAACCUCCAGGAGAGCUACAGAACACAGAGACUCCACUGACGUGCCUGACACACCGCACUCCAAGGGCCCCGGAGAGACUGAACCAUGCUCUGGACCCAGUGGAACGUAGUCACUCACAGCUGCACUUUGGAUGUCAGCUACAGAUGUCCCUGUGGAGACGCAAAACUUUGAUUACCCCGCUGUAAUCACUCAGCCCACCUACCCAGCCAGCCGCCUAUUCAUAUUCACGGCCCAGCAACGGGGCCAGGGGCUGCUGAGAAACCAGACCACCCGGGAAGGGGAUGCAGGGCUGCGGGCUGCCGGUGAGCGCCACGAGCCGCGGUGCUUCCUUCUCUGAACAGAGACAGCUUGCGUUUGGUCAGCUUUUUGACACCAUCUGGGAUUUGCUUCAGCCAAGUUGGAAAUCAAAAACAAGAAAACCAUCAGCAAGCCCAAGAGACUGUGCCUAGGCCACAGCGAGAGAGUGAAGCUCUGGGAUUCACGAUUCAAAGGGCCAGACGGCGUCUGAGUGCCGGCCCUGUGGGCAGUGCUUUCCGCCCAUAUCUGAUAUCAUCCUUGCAAUCCUCUUACCGGAGGGCAUCAUCUCGUCCCCUGUCACUGAGGAGGCAACAGGUUCGAACAGGCGACUUGCCCAAGAUCGCACAGCCUUGUAAGGGACAAAGCUGGGAUGCAAGCCCACGUCUGAUCGGGCUUGACUCAGGAAUCGCUACCCUACACCAAGGAUGGCAGUCUGGAGGGGACCUGAGACAGAAGGUUCCCCAGAGUGCCUGGCCUCGGCAGUAAUGGCUCGUCCCUCGCAGAGGAAGCCUUUUUGGUGACGACCAUGUGAGUCAGAGCUGGCUGGCCCUCUGCGGAGUAGAACUGAGGCUGGGAUAAAGAGAGCUGGUUCCGGAGAAGCCAGCACCGAGUCCCUAGAGCUCUCUGCAGAAAUGGCUCCCUUGAAGAGACGUCAAAGUGAACUCGGCCAGAAAGCUUGGAAGGAGUCAUAAAGGCAGAUCUCCUCCCUACCCAAUCCAGCCCCCCUAAGCUACCCUGAUCCCCUGGGCCUGGGCAGGGUGGGGGGGUUUCUUCCCAGGUGGUUUCCUCCCCACAGGAAGCGCUGCCCACAGCAGUAAUGGCUGGGACCAGGGAGGGUUCCACCUGGUGGAUGAGUCCCCCUGUGGUGGCCUCUGUGUCCUGAGAAAGGGGGCAUCUUGCUGCACUGAAGCAGGUGGUCUGUCUCCCAUUUUGUGGGGGUCAUGGACCUCCUGAAGAACCUGGUGGGAGCUUGGGGCAUUCGCCACUGAAAAUUUGGCCCCUGCACAAGUUAGGGCUUCAGGCCCCAACACCCAGAAGGUGGCAGGAAAAGCACAGGAUGGAAGCCCAGGGGCUGUGCCCCUGAGGGCAGCUGUGGGCUGCCUGUGCCCACUCCUGACCUGGAGGAGGGCCUGAGCGGGGCUCCUGCUGGGCAUGCAGUGACUGUACUCACCCUGCUGUGGGCCUGCUCCCCAGGAGGGCUGCUGGACCCUGGCCGGCUGGGCAGAGCUCCGCUGGUUCCCAUUCAGGUGUGUGGCUCCCGGGUUCACCCUGCUUUAUAAAGGGCCCCUGGGUGCACUUGCCACCAUGCGGUCUGAUUGCCACACAUUCCUGACCCUGGGAUUCCAUUGGGGACGCUGGUAGUGAAGGAAGGGACGGCUGAAUUGAUAAAGCCCCAACACACACAGGAUGUGCCUGCCCUUUGCCCACCCUGUUUGGGGGAGAGCGGGAGGCAUGACUAAAUCAGAGUGGCAGGCCGGAGCUCUUGAGCCCCUUGGAGGGGGCGGCCCUGCCUCUCUCUGGCCUCGUGAGCCUCCCACCAGCCAGCACGGUCUCCUCAUGGGCUCAGAAAGUCAACGCCCGUGAGGCCAGUGACUGCCUUUCAGUUGAGUUAGGCGAGCAGUUGUGUCCAGGGCCCUGGCUCCCUGCUUGGAAGCUUUGAGAGGCGUCUGGCACCAAGGCUGAGCAGGGCAGCAGAACCGGACGCCUGUUUCCUGCACAAGGGUGUGUGCGAGGGGCUCGUGAGGCCCCCCCUCGAGCCCCGGGCCCCCGAACCACAACUGGUUUGUUCCACAGAAGGGCAACUCAAUGUUUACCACUAGCCCAGCUCCAGCGCCUGGCUCAGUGCCUGACGCCCAUUCACAAAAGGGCAGACAGAAGGGUGGGUGUUUUCAAAACUAGGCUGGCUCUUCACUGGGUGGCCGGGGAGCCUUGCUUUCUGAACCUCCAGUGAGGGUAGUCACGCCACCUCUCCGGCCAUGGUGAUGGGUCAGGAAAGGAGGCUGUCAGCCCAGCGUGGGACUGAGCAGGGCUUGAUGACGGGUGUUCUGGCCAUUGUUCCAGUUCACCCACGGUGGAGGACAUGAGCGUUUGUCACUCCCCGGCCCUUGCUUCUGGGUGGUGUGUCCCCAGCUGAGCUUGUGAACAAGACGAGGGAACGCCAAGUGCUGUCCUCUGCAUCGCCACACUGAACUGAGGGGUUGGAGGGGUUGCUUUGUGCACCCACAGGCCUUUGCAGGAUCCACUCUGACCCAGGCAUGGCCACCGGCCAGUCAUGUUGUUCACGUCUCAGAGUGCUCACUGCAUGCUUAUUCCCUGCAAAAUCUGACAUGUCCCUCCGCCUGCCCUGUGUGCGAUCACAGAGCACCCCUAGGGUCUGUGCACCUAAGCCGGGACGUGGCUCCCUGUUGGGCGGGAUACUCUGCAGCGAUCUCCAGGCAUUGGCCAAGGGGGAAGGCCGGCACCCAACAUAUGGGGAGGCGUUGGCCUGCGGGUCUGGUCCCCGCCCGCCACCACCUGGUCCAGUGCGUACAGUCCCAGGAGCUCCUCCCCUGCCCCUCCCCUUAUCCUGUCCCACUGCCUAUUCCCAAUGACCCCUGUACCCCAUCUGAGGAGCACCUGGGGGGAGACCAACAGCAGGUGUCCUGACAGCCCAGCCAUGACUCCAGCCUCUGCCACUCGCCUGGCCUGGAUUUUCCCUCCACUGAGAGCAAGCAAGGGAGUGGGUGCUUCGUGAGGCUGGGCCACCCUGCAUGGUCUCGGGGUAGCUGCUCAGGCCAGGCUGUGGACCUAUUACCCCUGCCUGUGGAAUACUAGGGGUGUGGAGAAGCCCACCACGGGGCCCCUACCCACACGGGAAUUGAGCCAGCCUGGCAGAUGCUUCCCUGGUGCCAGUACCCUGAGGAAGGGGCUGGAAUCUUUCCCCCCCACAGUGGAGGGGGCUCUGAGGCCCGCAGGGUCAGGGUGCUUGUCGGUGUGGGGGCAGGCUCUGCCCCGUCCUCUGCUCUCCAGCCCCGCUGCAGCGGGAAGCAGCGGGAAGCCUUGGCUCCCCUUGGCCUUGACUGCAGAGAAUGGGGUCAAGAAAAGGCAGGCGACCAUGGGCUGACUUUGGGCCCUUUGGCAGGGUGCCCUCUGUCCUCCCCUUGGCAAGGAUGAGGGCUUCAUGGGCAGGCAUGGGCAGAGGGUGCACCCAAUGCCAAUAGGGGCAGGUGCAGAGCAGCUUCCACCACCAAGGCCAGGCCUGCCUCUGAAGGGCUGGUGUGUGUGCACACAUGUACGUGCAUGUGCACAGGAGAUGGGAGGUGUGUCAUUUAUAUCCCUCGUCAGUGCUGCUCUGUUGUGACACUGGGUGCUGGUCAAUGAUGGGGUGCAGCCUGCAGUCGUUAAUACGCUGUGCGGCUUUAGGCCACAUGCUUGCCCUUUCUGUGCCUCAGCUCCCUCUGGUGUCAAAUGAGACACUUCUGGGCUCUGCCCUGUGAAAUUCCUCAGGGUAGGCUGCGGGGAACUGGGAGAGCAGGUGUGAGGUCGGUCCCUGAGGGCCUCCCAAGAGAGAAGCUCCGCUUAGCUGGCCGACACAUUGGGCUCCAAGAAAAUGUUUGGCUCUGAAUACCACCGCUGGCCCAGGUCCCUUCCAGGGGGGACUCCCAGCUCUGAGAAGCGGCCACAGAAAGUCUGAGUGUUGGGCAUGGCUUUGGGGUGGGGGCAAGGUUGGGGUGAGAGUGAGGAGGCCCCCAUGUGCCCACAGAUCCCUCAGCCCACCCUGCCCCCUCCCUCGGGUAGAGGUGCCUGGAGCCAAAUGGUGGAUUUGGUGCUGAAUUUCCCAAGUCUGAAGGCUCGCCAGGUGCCCCCAGGAACACCUGGCCCAGAUUGUUUAUGAACACACUCCUGGGGCUCCUUGAAGCCUCUGGGCUCUCUCCAGGGGAUGAGCCCCCACUCUCGAGCACUUGUGGGGGGUGACAACUGGGACUGUUUCUGCCACUGGGGCCACCAACAGCAGCGAUGGGCCAGGGCCCCAGGGAAGGUCAGGGAUGGCCCAGGCUGGGUCACCGGAGGGUCUCCUCCCCGCACAGAGGUUGUCAGGCCUUUAGGGUCAAUGCUGGGAGGCUGGAGCUUUGGGGCAGGGGACCCGGAGGAGCCUGCUUUCUUCCAGCCCAAGUGAAGUUCCCUGAGAAGCAGUCCUGGAGGAGUGUCAGGGCCACAUCCCAGGACGUCCAAGCUGGCCAGCAGCCCGGGCUCCUCAGCUUCGCUGUCCUUCUCCAGGUGUGGAGCUGAGACUCAGUGAGGACAGGGCCUACUGGGUGGCAGCCUGGCUGUGCCAAGCCCAGGCCCCUGACUUGGCUCCCAGCCCCCUCCUCUGCCCUCCAGCCACACACCAGCCCUAAGGACUGGGUUCCAUGCCUGCUCAGCCACAUACCAGCUGGGGCCUUGGGCAAGUCACAUCACUUCCUGCACCGGUUUCUCCACCUGCCUGGGACAGCAGCAGUGCUCACAUCGUUGGGGGCAGGAGCCACUGGGUGAAAGGCAGGCUGUGUCACUGCAGCUCCCGCCCAGAGUAGCUGCUGCUGGCGUCCGGGAGAGCCCAGAUGGUGCCCUCUGUGAGCAGGGCUCCCGGGGCCUGCCUUCCCAGAGCCCUGGCACUGCUGGCCGAGCCCCUCCUGCUGUGUGGGUCACCUUCCGGGCCAUAUGAUGCACUGUUUGUGACUGAAAGGCACGUAGUCUGUCAGCUGUAGAACUUGUGACCGACCCCGCGGAAUCUUCCCAGUCAGCCCCAGCAGUUGAGCCAGGGAAGCUUCCUGCCAGGGGAGCUGCCGUCGGGGAGGUUUGGUGACUGUGGGAGAGGCGCCGAGUGGAGCAAGGCCCCCACUGGGAUGGCUGUGGCCCACGGGGCUGCAGGAGGCCAUGAUCACCUUAGAGAUGUCCCAUGGCCUGGCCCAGGGGCCCACUCCCCAGGCCUCCCCCAGGGCCCGACACACUGCCAUGCCCUAGGACAGUGGAGGGGCAUAGAUCUGUGAAUGGCCCAGGAACCCAGCACGCAGCCACAGACUCCCUGGGCCACACAGCUGGGCGCCCAGACACCCUCCAGCCACCCCUGCAGGUGACUGAGGUGGGGCUCCAGCACACAGCUGGUCUCCAAUGCAGGCGAUAAAUACUGGAUUCCAUUAAGUAAA